rnacentral:rRNA from 1 species
AUGGGGGCAAAAAUUGACCGCUCUGUAAACGACGGUGGAGGCCCAAAUUUUUUUAAGAUCAAUGGUUAGGUUUGCCAUCGUAUAGGCUCGCUGCUUCCAAAUGAGGGUGACUCUCCUAAAUAUGCAGAGUUAUACAUGCAUGAUAGAGAAAAUGAGGUUAGUAAUAGAAUUCAGGCCUUAAGUCAUGAGAAUGAAACUGGCACUGGGCUAGACAAGGAGAUUGUGAAAGGUCUUAUGCAGAUGCUUGAUGCGAAUAAUUCUUUGGUAAAAAAAUUCCGUAUGGCCAGUGAAAUCCUGAAAACUAAUAAACAUGAGGUCAUAUCAAUAAGGCUUAUAGCUCCUGGUGAAAAUGAUAGCGCACAGUUUAGUUUACCUACAACUGAUGAGCUGGCGGCUUUGGUUUAUGGUGAAUUUACAUUGGAGGCACCAUGUAGAGACCUAAUAAUACGUAGUAAAACAGACUGUCUUCGUCGUAUUUCCUCUUUAGAUACUGCUUACAUGCCUUUGCAAUACCCUCUGUUGUUCCCGUACGGUGAACGUGGCUUUCAGCUCGGUGUGCGCUACAUUGAUUCUGAUACCGAUGAUCCAAACAAGAGGGUUAAAGUGACCAUGCAAGACUUCUAUUGCUUCUGCUACCACUAUAAACCAGAGUAGCAUAACCCAUACCUAUGCUGGCCGCUGUUGAUUUCUGAGCUUGCAUUGACGAGUGCCGGCCCAAUUUUAUUCUUAAAUGUAAUGACGACAUGCGGGCUGAAAAUCUUCAGGGUGUUGUCGAUGCGGUAG